UACGGAGGGUGCGAGCGUUGUCCGGAAUCAUUGGGCGUAAAGGGCGCGUAGGUGGCGGGACAAGCGUGCGGUGAAAGCCUGGGGCUCGAACCCCGGGUCGGCCGUGCGAACUGUUUUGCUUGAGCACUGUAGAGGCAGGCGGAAUUCCGGGUGUAGCGGUGGAAUGCGUAGAGAUCCGGAAGAACACCGGUGGCGAAGGCGGCCUGCUGGGCAGUAGCUGACACUGAGGCGCGACAGCGUGGGGAGCAAACAGG
rnacentral:rRNA from 1 species